UACAGGGGGGGCAAGCGUUGUUCGGAAUUACUGGGCGUAAAGGGUUUGUAGGUGGCCACUUAAGUCAGACGUGAAAUCCCUCAGCUUAACUGGGGAACUGCGUCUGAUACUGAGUGGCUUGAGUGCAGGAGAGGAACGCGGAAUUCCAGGUGUAGCGGUGAAAUGCGUAGAUAUCUGGAGGAACACCGGUGGCGAAGGCGGCGUUCUGGACUGUAACUGACACUGAAAAACGAAAGCCAGGGGAGCAAACGGG
rnacentral:rRNA from 1 species